AACCCAUGUGAACUUACCAUCGUUGCCUCGGCGGGUCGAGCCUACCUGGUACUUACCCGGUAGGAGCGCCGCCGGUGGACAUUUAAACUCUUUGUCAUUACUGUGGCUUCUGAGUAGUUAUCAUAAUAAGUUAAAACUUUCAACAACGGAUCUCUUGGUUCUGGCAUCGAUGAAGAACGCAGCGAAAUGCGAUAAGUAAUGUGAAUUGCAGAAUUCAGUGAAUCAUCGAAUCUUUGAACGCACAUUGCGCCCAUUAGUAUUCUAGUGGGCAUGCCUGUUCGAGCGUCAUUACAACCCUUAAGCCUAGCUGCUUAGUGUUGGGAAUUCACCGUAACUGGUGAUUCCUCAAAGGUAUUGGCGGAGUCGAGUCGAACUCUGAGCGUAGUAAUUCUUUUUCUCGCUUCUGAACUCCUCUCGGCGACAGCCACAAGCCUACUAUACUUCUAAUGUUUGACCUCGGAUCAGGUAGGAAUACCCGCUGAACUUAAGCAUAUCAAUAAGCGGAGGAAAAGAAACCAACAGGGAUUCCCCUAGUAACGGCGAGUGAAGCGGGAACAGCUCAAAUUUGAAAGCUGGCCUUCUGGUCCGCAUUGUAAUUUGUAGAGGAUGCUUUUGACGCGGUACCUUCUGAGUUCCUUGGAACAGGACGCCUUAGAGGGUGAGAGCCCCGUACAGUUGGAUACCAAGUCUCUGUAUAGCACCUUCGACGAGUCGAGUAGUUUGGGAAUGCUGCUCUAAAUGGGAGGUAAAUUUCUUCUAAAGCUAAAUACCGGCCAGAGACCGAUAGCGCACAAGUAGAGUGAUCGAAAGAUGAAAAGCACUUUGAAAAGAGGGUUAAAUAGCACGUGAAAUUGUUGAAAGGGAAGCGCUUAUGACCAGACUUUUUCCUGGCGGAUCAUCCGGGGUUCUCCCCGGUGCACUUCGCCUGGUUUAGGCCAACAUCGAUUCCCGCCGGGGGAUAAAGGCUUCGGGAAUGUGGCUCUCUUCGGGGAGUGUUAUAGCCCGUUGCGUAAUACC
rnacentral:rRNA from 1 species